GGCUUAGAGUUUGAUCAUGGCUCAGGAUGAACGCUGGCGGCAUGCCUAAGACAUGCAAGUCGAACGAAGUGGCCCAAGGAAGUGGAGUGCUUGCACAAAGCGGAAUUGGAUUCCCACUUAGUGGCAGACGGGUGAGUAACACGUGGGUAACCUACCGAAGAGACUGGGAUAACAGUUAGAAAUGACUGCUAAUACCGGAUGAUUCAUCUUUACAAAAGUAGAGAUGCUAAAAGGAGCGUAUGCUUCACUUUUCGAUGGGCUUGCGUUGUAUUAGCUAGUUGGUGAGGUAAUGGCCCACCAAGGCGACGAUGCAUAUCCGGGCUGAGAGGCUGAACGGACACACUGGGACUGAGACACGGCCCAGACUCCUACGGGAGACAGCAGUUAGGAAUAUUCGUCAAUGGAGGAAACUCUGAACGAGCAAUGCCGCGUGAGCGAUGAAGGCCAUAUGGGUCGUAAAGCUCUGUUGUAAAGGAAGAAUACUUGGUAUAGGAAAUGAUAUCAAGCUGACGGUACUUUACCAGAAAGCCCCGGCUAACUACGUGCCAGCAGCCGCGGUAAUACGUAGGGGGCGAGCGUUAUCCGGAUUUAUUGGGCGUAAAGCGUGUGUAGGCGGUUUGUUAAGUAUAAGAUAAAAGCCCGGAGCUUAACUCCGGUUCGUCUUAUAAACUGGCAGACUUGAGUGUGGUAGAGGCAAGUGGAAUUUCUAGUGUAGCGGUUAAAUGCGUAGAUAUUAGAAGGAACACCAGUGGCGAAGCGGCUUGCUGGGCCAUUACUGACGCUGAGACACGAAAGCGUGGGGAGCAAAUAGGAUUAGAUACCCUAGUAGUCCACGCCGUAACGAUGAGUACUAGUGUCGGGAAAC
rnacentral:rRNA from 1 species